rnacentral:rRNA from 1 species
ACUCGAGUGGCGAACGGGUGAGUAACACGUGGGUGAUCUGCCUUGCACUUCGGGAUAAGCCUGGGAAACUGGGUCUAAUACCGAUAGGACCAUGCUUUAGUGUGUGUGGUGGAAAGUUUUUCGGUGCAAGAUGAGCCCGCGGCCUAUCAGCUUGUUGGUGGGGUAAUGGCCUACCAAGGCGACGACGGGUAGCCGGCCUGAGAGGGUGUACGGCCACAUUGGGACUGAGACACGGCCCAG